UGCAAGUCGACGCCCUCUUUUAGAGGGAGUGGCGCACGGGUGCGUAACGCGUGGGAACCUGCCCUUAGGUUCGGAAUAACUCAGAGAAAUUUGAGCUAAUACCGGAUAAUGUCUUCGGACCAAAGAUUUAUCGCCUUUGGAUGGGCCCGCGUAGGAUUAGAUAGUUGGUGGGGUAAUGGCCUACCAAGUCGACGAUCCUUAGCUGGUCUGAGAGGAUGAUCAGCCACACUGGGACUGAGACACGGCCCAGACUCCUACGGGAGGCAGCAGUGGGGAAUAUUGGACAAUGGGCGAAAGCCUGAUCCAGCAAUGCCGCGUGAGUGAUGAAGGCCUUAGGGUUGUAAAGCUCUUUUACCAGGGAUGAUAAUGACAGUACCUGGAGAAUAAGCUCCGGCUAACUCCGUGCCAGCAGCCGCGGUAAUACGGAGGGAGCUAGCGUUGUUCGGAAUUACUGGGCGUAAAGCGCACGUAGGCGGCUUUUCAAGUCAGGGGUGAAAUCCCGGGGCUCAACCCCGGAACUGCCCUUGAAACUGGAUGGCUAGAAUACUGGAGAGGUGAGUGGAAUUCCGAGUGUAGAGGUGAAAUUCGUAGAUAUUCGGAAGAACACCAGUGGCGAAGGCGACUCACUGGACAGUUAUUGACGCUGAGGUGCGAAAGCGUGGGGAG
rnacentral:rRNA from 1 species